UUCCAACUGUAUCUACCCUGAAAAGGCCAGUGCUCCACUUAGUCAGCUCAGUCCCCAGGCAAAGGGCUAAGAGAGAGGCAUCUCUGAGACUGGGGCCACUGGAAUAGGCUGGCGAUGUCUCCACUGCCUGGCGUUCAGCCUGGUCUCUUCCCGGCUUUUUUGCUUUUUUCCCGGUGCCAUCUUCUUCCAUUGUUCGUUUUUGCCCCGACCCUGGCUUCAAAGAGCAUUAUUUACUGAGGUGAGUGCAACUAAAAGUUUGAAUGGCAUUUCAAAGGAAUUCAAAGCAGUUGCUCUUGAAUGGCUCCAGGUGAAUAGCUUCACCUAGUGAAUAGUUCCAAGAAGAGUUUGUUUCUUUUCUCUAACCUUUUUAUUUCUUCUCUCCCUCUGACUUUCAAUCACUGAAGAAGAAUAAAGAGAGGACCAAACUGAAGUGAGCACAAGAGGAAAAAGGCAUGAGUGAGGAGACAGCUGGAAAAGCAGGCAUUUUUAAGAACUGGAAAAGUAGUAAUUACAAUAAAAUAUGGCAACAAGUUCUCUCCCAUAAAUACCCCAGAUGGUGGAGAAAGAAUUUCAUAAGCAGAGGUAUAUAUGCUAACAGGUAAGUAAGAAGUAGUAAUGGGAAAGCAAUAUAGAAUACUUGGAUUUUAAAAUAAUGAUUAAAAAACAAUACAUGAACCUUAUCCCAUAAUUAUGUCAAAGAAAGAAGGUAAUGCUUGGCAAACUAAUUUACUCUUGAUUCAUUCACUGAACAU
rnacentral:lncRNA from 1 species